AGGGAGAAAAGCUGGGCUGAGAGGCGACUGGUGUCUAAUCUGUCUCUCCAACUCAGACUGCCUGGCCCA
ensembl:miRNA